UUAGAUGACUAUUUGUAAUCUGUAACCUCUUAAAUUCACUCUGUACUUUAGGUUAUACCGAAAUGUAAUAUGCAACAAUUCUGAAUUUUAUAGUUUGUAUCUUUUGAAUGUUUGAAUGCUAGACUUCUUGUGCCUGUGUAUCUUUCAAUAAAUGCAGGCAGAGGAAAGAAAAAAAAUGAAUAUUUAUAAUACCAGGAGAAUGUAAAAAUAUAAUUAGAGAGUGUACAGAUGAUUCUUGAGUAACAGGAUCUGAGGCAGUCGGUACAGUCCUCGUGCACCACACUCUUAGGUAUUGAUAUUUUUAUGCAAAAAUAAUUAUGGAGAGUGGUAUAUUUCUUUUCAUGUUGUUUCUUUUGUCACAUGAUAUAUUACUUUGUAUCCAUAUUUCAUAAAAGUAUUUAAAAUUCUCCUGUAAUCUGUAUGGUUAUUUAUAUGAUUAGAUGUAUUUUGCUUUAUUUUAGUUUUGUCAAGUUAAUUAAUAGGUAAUUAUUUUGAAAAUGCCACCAGAACAGCAGUUUGCAGAAAAAGACUGUUAAAAACUGUGAAGCAAUGAAAAUAAAGUGAUCCUCGUAUAUUGUUGAAUUAUCUCUAGA
rnacentral:lncRNA from 1 species